rnacentral:rRNA from 1 species
UGACGAAUGCUUACACAUGCAAGUCGACUGGAAUUCUUCUUCGGAAGAUAGUACGGUGGCGGACGGGUGAGUAACGCGUAAAGAAUUUGCCCUUCAGCACUGGGACAACUAAUCGAAAGGUUAGCUAAUACCGGAUAUUAUGAGACCUCGGCAUCGGGGACUUAUGAAAGCUAUAUGCGCUGGAGGAGAACUUUGCGUUCCAUUAGCUAGUUGGUAGGGUAAUGGCCUACCAAGGCGACGAUGGAUAGCCGGCCUGAGAGGGUGAACGGCCACAAGGGGACUGAGACACGGCCCUUACUCCUACGGGAGGCAGCAGUGGGGAAUAUUGGACAAUGGACCAAAAGUCUGAUCCAGCAAUUCUGUGUGCACGAUGAAGGUCUUCGGAUUGUAAAGUGCUUUCAGGUGGGAAGAAGAAAGUGACGGUACCACCAGAAGAAGCGACGGCUAAAUACGUGCCAGCAGCCGCGGUAAUACGUAUGUCGCAAGCGUUAUCCGGAAUUAUUGGGCGUAAAGCGAGUCUAGGCGGCUUGUUAAGUCAGAUGUGAAAAUGCGGGGCUCAACUCCGUAUUGCGUUUGAAACUGGCAGGCUAGAGUACUGGAGAGGUGGGCGGAACUACAAGUGUAGAGGUGAAAUUCGUAGAUAUUUGUAGGAAUGCCGAUAGUGAAGACAGCUCACUGGACAGAUACUGACGCUAAAGCUCGAAAGCGUGGGGAGCGAACAGGAUUAGAUACCCUGGUAGUCCACGCCGUAAACGAUGUUCACUGGGUGUAGGGGGUCGAACCUCUGUGCCGAAGCUAACGCGAUAAGUGAACCGCCUGGGGAGUACGCACGCAAGUGUGAAACUCAAAGGAAUUGACGGGGACCCGCACAAGCGGUGGAGCAUGUGGUUAAAAUCCGACGCAACGCGAGGAACCUUACCGGCACUUGACAUACAACGAACUCGUCAAAAAUGACUUGGUGCCCGCUUCGGUGGAAACGUUGAUACAAGGUGGUGCAUGGCUGUCGUCA